GACGAACGCUGGCGGCGUGCUUAACACAUGCAAGUCGAACGGAAAGGCCCUGCUUUUGUGGGGUGCUCGAGUGGCGAACGGGUGAGUAACACGUGAGUAACCUGCCCUUGACUUUGGGAUAACUUCAGGAAACUGGGGCUAAUACCGGAUAGGAGCUCCUGCUGCAUGGUGGGGGUUGGAAAGUUUCGGCGGUUGGGGAUGGACUCGCGGCUUAUCAGCUUGUUGGUGGGGUAGUGGGUUACCAAGGCUUUGAAGGGUAGCCGGCCUGAGAGGGGGAGCGGCCACAUUGGGACUGAGAUACGGCCCAGACUCCUACGGGAGGCAGCAGUGGGGAAUAGUGCACAAUGGGCGGAAGCCUGAUGCAGCAACGCCGCGUGCGGGAUGACGGCCUUCGGGUUGUAAACCGCUUUCGCCUGUGACGAAGCGUUAGUGACGGUAAUGGGUAAAGAAGCACCGGCUAACUACGUG
rnacentral:rRNA from 1 species